UGGGGGGCGGGGUUUAUGCAAAUAUGACAGAGUGACGUAGAUCAGAAACGGGAGGAACGUGCUGGACCUCAAACAUCAAACAUCACGUGGUCUCCUGGAGAAACACCUGAUAAAACCUGUUUUCAGGCGCGCGCUGACCACCGAGGACCUACACAUUAAAAGUUGCAGGCCUCACAGGGGCUGAAGGCUCCAAGCUCCGGACGGGCACGCCGGUAUCCCAGAGUGCAGUGCUCACAGUGCUGACCUUGGUAACCCUGAGGACAGGUGCACUGCUCGACCCAGCGGGCCGGAAUACCUGGACCCCGCCUCGCUGAGACCAGGGAGAAGUCAUCAAGGUGCCGCGGAUCUUGAUGGCGGUCAGGUUGUGGAGAAGUUUCUGGAAGUUGGAGUGGCUGAUGGUCGGCCUCCAGGGGUAGUCAGUGCUGUCAUGGAGCCUGAACCACAACCAGAGCACCAUGUUACAAACAACAACAGCAG